CAUGGGAAUGAGAAUCUGGGACUUGGUUGCGGGAUUCUGAGGUUGACCUUUCCGUUUCGGCUUUGGUUAACCGAAACGAACCGAACUAACAAGCAAAGCAUCAGAAAGAGGAUGCAUAACGAAUACCACUACGCGACGUCGUUUUUACGCAACAGCGUCUGUGACGACCUUUUGUGUCGCCAAAACGCAACGGUGACGAAGGAAGCAACGCAAUCGAAGAAGUGAGUGAAAGCAACAAUGAACGACGAUCACAUGGUGAAGGGACAUGUGCUAGCCAAGAAAGCGGAGAACAAGCUCCACGCUUGUUGCCCCUUGUUCGGUUCCAAUGUCGAAGACGCCGCUCUGUUGUUCCACAAAUCCGCUACUUCCUUCAAACUCGCCAAAUCAUGGGACAAGGCGGGCUCACUCUUCCUCGAAUCGUCUGCAUGUCACAUGAAGUUAGGUAACAAGCAUGAUGCUGUAAAUGCUUAUAUCGAAGGUGCUCGUUGCUACAAGAAAACUUCAUUACAAGGAGCUGUUUUCUGCUUAAAUAAAGUAGUGACAAUCUACGAAGAGCUUGGUAGGCACAUCAUGGCUGCUAAGUAUUCAAAGGAAAUUGGCGACUUAGGUGAGCUCAACAAAGACAUAGACUGUGCUAGAUUGCAUUAUGAGAGGGCUGCUCAACUUUUUGAAAUUGGGGAUGCAGCAACCUCUGUGAUACAGUGCAAGCUUAAAGUUGCACAAUUUUUUGCCCAGCUUCAACAAUAUCAGAAGGCAAUUAAGAUUUAUGAAGAUAUUGCCCGACAGUCACUGAAUAGCAACUUGUGGAAAUAUGGAGUUAGAGUACAUCUUCUUAAUGCAGGGCUUUGCCAGCUUGUUAAAGGGGAUUUUGUUGCAAUUUCCAACUCUUUGGAGCGUUAUCAGGACUUGGAUCCCACAUUCUCCACAACCCGUGAAUACAAAUUUUUGGCUGAUUUGGCUGCUUCAGUUGACGAGGAAGAUGUUGAAAAUUUUACUAGAGUAGUCAAGGAGUUUAAUGACAUAACCCCAUUGAUCACAUAAUGUCCUGUUUCCUUCCUUUAGCAAAACUUAUUUUAGAAUCUCAAGUUUUGUACCUCAUCUACAUUGAUCCCAAUCUAAAUUGAUGUUGUUUGCUCCACCAUCUCUGUCACUGUUCUUAAAUGCAGAACCUUGGAAGUCAACCCUUUUGUUGAGAGUAAAGAAUGUUUUGAAAGAAAAAGAGAUGCAAGAGGAGGAUGAUUUAAUCUGAAUCAAUGACUACUACCAAAGAAGUCGGUCCUCUGUGCAUCAAAUCUUUAUGUGGGCAAAAAUUGACAAAAAUCUGUUUUUUCCAAACCUUUUAAAGGCAUCAUGGUACCAUGUCCAGAUGGUGAAAGUUCUGAGGUGCUUUUAAGAAAAUUGAGCAUCCAAGACACGAGAGGGUUUUGGUGAAUCCGGUGUUUCUUGGUCGAAGUAUUAAAAUCUGUUUAAGGUGUUAAACCUCCUUGUAAUAUGAAUACCGAACACGACACGGACACAUAUACUUUUUAAAUAUUUAAUAUAAAAAUGAAUUUAAUUUAUUUAUAUAAUAUUCAAAAAAUGAGAAAUAAUGUGUAUAUAAGAUUUGUUUCUUAUUUCUAUGGUCGUUAUAAAAACUUAUGCAAUAUUCUAUUCAUUGUAAACCUAAUUCCGAAUAAUUGUUUGGUGUCUUUUUCGUUCU